rnacentral:rRNA from 1 species
UGGUGGAGUGAUUUGUCUGGUUAAUUCCGUUAACGAACGAGACCUCAGCUUGCUAACUAGUAAGGCGAAGUUUUCUUCGUCGAAACUUCUUAGAGGGACUGUGAGCGUUUAGCUCAUGGAGGUUUGAGGCAAUAACA